rnacentral:rRNA from 1 species
CAUGCAUGUCUAAGUACACACGAAUUAAAAGUGAAACCGCAAAAGGCUCAUUAUAUCAGUUAUGGUUCAUUAGAUCGUUAACAGUUACUUGGAUAACUGUGGUAAUUCUAGAGCUAAUACAUGCAAUAUAAACACGAACCUUAUGGAACGUGUGCUUUUAUUAGGCUAAAACCAAGCGAUUUUUUCGGAAAUCGUUAUUAUGGUUGAACUCUAGAUAAUUUGCCGAUCGUAUGGUCUCGUACCGACGACAGAUCUUUCAAAUGUCUGCCCUAUCAACUAUUGAUGGUAGUAUCUAGGACUACCAUGGUUGCAACGGGUAACGGGGAAUCAGGGUUCGAUUCCGGAGAGGGAGCCUGAGAAACGGCUACCACAUCUAAGGAAGGCA